CCUACGGGUGGCAGCAGUGGGGAAUCUUGCACAAUGGGGGAAACUCUGAUGCAGCAACGCCGCGUGAGGGAAGACGGUUUUCGGAUUGUAAACCUCUGUUCUUAGUGAAGAAUAAUGACGGUAGUUAAGGAGCAAGCCAUGGCUAACUACGUGCAAGCAGCCGCGGUAAUACGUAGGUGGCAAGCGUUGUCCGGAUUUACUGGGUGUAAGGGGAGCGCAGGCGGGAAGCCAAGUCAGCUGUGAAAGCUACGGGCUUAACUUGUAGACUGCAGUUGAAACUGGUUUUCUUGAGUGAAGUAGAGGUUGGCGGAAUUCCGAGUGUAGCGGUGAAAUGCGUAGAUAUACGGAGGAACACCAGUGGCGAAGGCGGCCAACUGGGCUUUAACUGACGCUGAGGCUCGAAAGUGUGGGGAGCAAACAGGAUUAGAUACCCUAGUAGUC
rnacentral:rRNA from 1 species